CACAAAACAACCCAUAAGACAUUACAAUUUCACAGCUCCUUACGGCCUGGGUGGGUAUUUUCAUAACAAUAUAGAUUCACUUACGUGAACCGAACGUUUGUUGGUUCACAUUAGAAAAGCAAAACAAGUUAUAUACAAUACAUAAAGCAGCGCAAUAUGACAACGCCACAGUUAAACACACAGACAGACCUCAAAUAGAAAGCCUUCUAGCACAGUCUCACAGCUAGUCUCACAGUCUCACGGCUAGUGUCAGUCUCACGGCUAGUGUCAGUCUCACGGCUAGUGUCAUAGUUUCAUAGUGUCAUAGUCUCAUAGUGUCAUAGUCUCACGGCUAGUGUCACGGCUAGUGUCACAGCUAGUGUCAUAGUGUCACGACUAGUGUCAUAGUCUCAUAGUGUCAUAGUCUCACGGCUAGUGUCACAGCUAGUGUCAUAGUGUCACGGCUAGUGUCAUAGUCUCAUAGUGUCACAGUCUCACGGCUAGUGUCAAGUCUCACGGCUAGUGUCACAUCUCACGGCUAGUGUCACAGUCUCACAGCUAGUGUCAUAGUGUCACGGCUAGUGUCAUAGUGUCAUAGUCUCAUAGUGUCAUAGUCUCACGUGUCACAGCUAGUGUCAUAGUGUCACGACUAGUGUCAUAGUUUCAUAGUGUCAUAGUCUCAUAGUGUCAUAGUCUCACGGCUAGUGUCACGACUAGUGUCAAUAGUCUCACGGCUAGUGUCAUGGUCUCACGGCUAGUGUCACGACUAGUGUCAUAGUCUCACGGCUAGUGUCAAUGGUCUCACGGCUAGUUGUCAUGGUCACACGGCCAGUGUCAUAGUCUCACGGCCAGUGUCAUAGUCUCACGGCCAGUGUCAUAGUCUCACGGCCAGUGUCAUAGUCUCACGGCCAGUGUCAUAGUCUCACGGCCAGUGUCAUAGUCUCACGGCCAGUGUCUUAGUCUCACGGCCAGUGUCAUAGUCUCACGGCCAGUGUCAUAGUCUCACGGCCAGCGUCAUAGUCUCACGGCCAGUGUCAUAGUCUCACGGCCAGUGUCAUAGUCCACAUUCCUAUCAUUUGAGCCAGACUAUUUCCCCCCUCAUGCAGAGCCUGUAGCUAGAAUCCACCCCUCUUUUUCCACCGGUGCCAAGGCACUCUUCUCGCUCCCUAGUAGGCUGGUUCUGUUCUCUGGUCGUCUUGGCAGCCUGCCCUCCCCCCAGGAUUGGUGCUCUCCACUGGGCCGGCCCUUCACUGUGAAGCCUAACAGGACUCGG
ensembl:lncRNA